GAUGAACGCUAGCGACAGGCUUAACACAUGCAAGUCGAGGGGCAGCGAGGGAGUGCUUGCACUUCUGUCGGCGACCGGCGCACGGGUGAGUAACACGUAUGCAACCUGCCCUUGUCAGGGGGAUAAGCGAGGGAAACCUCGUCUAAUACCGCAUAUAUGAUUUUGAGGCAUCUCAUAAUCAGGAAAGAAUUAUCGGACAAGGAUGGGCAUGCGGGACAUUAGGUAGUUGGGGGUGUAAACGGGACCACCAAGCCGACGAUGUCUAGGGGUUCUGAGAGGAAGGUCCCCCACACUGGUGCUGAGACACGGACCAGACUCCUACGGGA
rnacentral:rRNA from 1 species